rnacentral:rRNA from 1 species
AUGCACGCUGGCGGCGUGCCUCAUCCCUGCAAGUCGAGCGAACGGACGAGAAGCUUGCUUCUCUGAUGUUAGCGGCGGACGGGUGAGUAACACGUGGAUAACCUACCUAUAAGACUGGGAUAACUUCGGGAAACCGGAGCUAAUACCGGAUGAUAUUUUGAACCGCAUGGUUCAAAAGUGAAAGACGGUCUUGCUGUCACUUAUAGAUGGAUCCGCGCUGCAUUAGCUAGUUGGUAAGGUAACGGCUUACCGAGGCAACGAUGCAUAGCCGACCUGAGAGGGUGAUCGGCCACACUGGAACUGAGACACGGUCCAGACUCCUACGGGAGGCAGCAGUAGGGAAUCUUCCGCAAUGGGCGAAAGCCUGACGGAGCAACGCCGCGUGAGUGAUGAAGGUCUUCGGAUCGUAAAACUCUGUUAUUAGGGAAGAACAUAUGUGUAAGUAACUGUGCACAUCUUGACGGCACCUAAUCAGAAAGCCACGGCUAACUACGUG